UGAGGCAGCUGUGGGAAGGUGGGGGUGCUCACCUUGGCAUACUUGUAGGUGUUCACAGCGCCCUCUACGCUGAGGGUCUGGGAACACAGGAUCUCGCAGUGUCUCUGCAGGGCAUCCAGCUGGAAUAGGCUGGCAGCGGACAGCAGCUGGUGGGGUAACAAAGGCAGUUUGGGGUUGACCAGAGUGCAUAGUCAGGCCUGUGGCCUUAGCUCUCCUACACAGACCCUCAGGGGCCCUGCCCACUUGUGGGUUAAGUCUAACAGCCUUGAUUUAUUUCUGAUCUAGGCCAUCCAGGCAUUUGCUGGGACAACUUGGGAGGCACAGGAGGGUGACAGGCACUGGCUGGGAGCUUAAGUAUAAGAUACAGCUUCCAUCAACAUGAGCUUCUAGCUGGGCUUCAGACCUGGCAGAUGUCUCCACAUGGAGAGACGUGGGCUUUGGCACCCAGGCUCCCUCUGCUCACCUCUAGGAUGUCGGCAGUGGGGAUGUCCAUGGACUCUGUCCCUCCGUAGUACAGAUACUGCAUCAUCAUCUGCAGCGGGAGGAGGCCCAGAAUGAACUUUGUAAAUGCAAGCUCGACCUUCCAAGUCCUAGGUUGGAAUUCUGGCUCCAUCAUUUCUCAGCUGUGUGACUUUGGGCUCAUCCUGGGCGGGGCCAGGCUCUAGACCCACACGCCAGCAGCCUCUUGGUACAGCCUCAGGCCCUCCGGGUGGAGCCCACUGCAGCCCUCACACAGUCAUCACUUUCCAGGGAGGCGCUCCCAGCAGUCUCCUGGACCCUCUGCUGUGUCUGGCAACCAGCCUGUCUAGGGUCGCCAUCACACAGCCUCUGGAGUGCUCCAAAGUCUACAGCUUGCAAGACCUGACCCUCGUCUGCUACCAUCAGGAUGGGCUCAUCACAGCCUUUCUGCUUGGCCUGCUGACACCCUACCUGAGCGUCUGAGCUGCACCAGGCACUCCGACAAGAUGGCAUCGGGAGUGGAACAGAAUAUGCCACUGACGGUGAUGUCUGCGCAGACGGACAGAGGUCAUGCCCCUGAAAAGCGUGCGGCGUGGAGCUCCCACCUGGAAGAUGUGGUACUUCAUGUCGCUGAUCUCAAUGGUCUUGCUGCUGUCGCCAUCCUGUUCUGAUUUAUUGGUCAUCAGCGUCUUGAACCUGGAGCAAAGGAGGUGAAAUGAGGUGGGUGAGGUCCUGGCCUCAGCGAGGACGGCAGAGCCCGGGUGUGCCGUGGGAAGGCGUGCGGUGUGCUCUCAGCGUUUGUGAGCCGUGGCCCCGGGACAGCAAGGAAGUGCCACUAGGCGCUGGGCACUCAUGGUGAGCCAGUCUGGGCCUGUAUUUUGCAUGACCACGUUCUUAGAUAAGCAGCAUUGAUGUGCACAGCUGGGGUCUCCUUCCACCAGGCUGCCUGCCUCGCCUCCCCUGAGGAGAGGAAGGUCCACAGACAUACAGGUCUAACGAGUGAG